rnacentral:misc_RNA from 1 species
AUUUUUUCGGUUCUCCAUCCUUGUCUGACGCCCCUGCCCUUGAGUGCCAUUCUUUAGCUUCUCUCUCCUCAUUCCCUCCCCUACCCCCUCCUCAGGACGACGACGACGACGACGACGGACCAAGCGGAGAGUCCGAUUCCUUCCCAGACGCCUCUGCGCGAUCAACGCCGCGCUCUCCCAAUUAGUCCUAACACACACACACGCACAAGCCGUGCACUGCCUCACUGCCAACCAACCCAGCCCACUCAGCGUAAAAGGAAAAUGAUCUCCGCGAAGAGACACAUCGACACGAAUGAGCUGCUGCACCUGAACAAGGCCGUCGUCUUCGGCUCCGGGGCCUUUGGCACGGCGCUGGCGAUGGUGCUCUCCAAGAAGUGCCGCGAGGUGUGCGUGUGGCACAUAAAGGAGGAGGAGGCGCGGCUCGUGAAUGAGAAGCGCGAGAACGAUCUCUACCUCCAGGGAGUACAGCUUGCGUCGAACAUCACCUUCACCUCGGAUGUGGAAGAGGCGUACAAGGGUGCUGAGAUUAUCCUCUUCGUCAUCCCGACCCAGUUCCUGCGCGGCUUCUUCCAGAAAAGCGGCAGCAACCUGAUCGCCUACGCGAAGAAGAAUCAGGUGCCGGUGCUUGUGUGCACGAAGGGUAUUGAGCGCUCGACGCUGAAGUUCCCGGCGCAGAUUGUUGGCGAGUUCUUCCCGGGCAGCCUGCUCUCUGUGCUCGCGGGCCCCAGCUUCGCCAUCGAGGUGGCCACCGGCGUCUUCACGUGCGUCAGCGUCGCCUCCGCCGACAUCAAUGUGGCUCGCCGCCUGCAGCGCAUCAUGACAACGAGCGACCGCUCCUUCGUCUGCUGGGCCACCACCGACACCGUCGGCUGCGAGGUGGCCAGCGCUGUGAAGAACGUGCUGGCCAUCGGCUCUGGCGUGGCGAAUGGCCUCGGCAUGGGUCUCAACGCGCGUGCCGCCCUCAUCACGCGCGGCCUGCUCGAGAUUCGAGAUCUGACGGCCGCGCUGGGCGGCGAUGGCAGCGCCGUCUUCGGCCUCGCCGGCCUCGGUGACCUCCAGCUCACGUGCUCGUCGGAGCUGUCGCGUAACUUCACGGUGGGCAAGAAGCUCGGCAAGGGUUUGUCUAUCGAGGAAAUACAACGCACGAGCAAGGCCGUCGCGGAGGGCGUGGCGACGGCCGAGCCGCUGAUGCGCUUGGCGCAGCAGCUGAAGGUGACGAUGCCGCUGUGCCAGCAAAUCUACGAGAUCGUGUACAAGAAGAAGAGCCCACGCGCCGCCAUCGCAGACCUCUUGUCUUGCGGCCUGCAGGACGAGGGUCUGCCGCCGCUCUUCAAAAAGUCGGCUGCGACCCCCUCCAAGCUGUGAGGCGGAAGAGGGCACACAAACACGUACAGGCAAGCAGGCAAACAGGCCCACGCAUGCGCACAUCGCACGUCAGCUGUGUUCCGCGUGUGCGUUUUCUUCGCGUGCGUUUCUCCUCCUCGUACACGUCGGCAUCUCGAAUUUCCACCGUAACCGGUGCCCAGGGCGGCCCUCCCUUCCCUCGUCCCCUCCUUUGUUCUCCGUGCGCGUUCCGCUCACGAACAACCUGCACGUGUGUGCUGUUUUGUCCGGGUUCGUUUUCUUCCGUCCGUUUCCCCUCGCCACCUCCCACUCUGCGUGUGCGUUGUCCACCCCCCUCCCUCUCCCUCCCCAUCCUCUCUGCGCUUCUUGGCCGGUCUGUUGAGGCGUGUAUGUGCACAGCACGCGUGUGGCUGCGGGUGCUGUACGCGUGUUCUUUUCUGCGCACAUCCUCCGUCUUGUGACCGCGUGUAGAGGAACAAAGGUAGACUGGAGCCAACCAGAGGGAUUCGAGAAGCAUCCAGCGCGAGUUGUGCGGCGCACACCGCUGACGGCUCCCCCUCCCCCCACACACACACGCACUCGCGCACGCGCACGUCAAUCACAGCGAGCUAGCCCAAUGAGUGAGUCACGGAGAGCGAAGAGAGCGAGAGAGAAGCCGGAGUUGUGUUGUCCAUCGGUGUGGUGAUGUCCCUUCCCCUUGCUUUCUUUCCUUUUUCCUCUAUUGUGCGUGCACCCCUUGAUGACGAGGGGGGGUGCGCACACGCGCCGCCAUGCACGGUAUCCCCCAGGGUCCAGUGGGCCCCACUCUGUUUGGGGUGGAAGCCAAGCAGCCCCCUCCCCCUCUCCUCCUCCGUCCCCUGCCAAUGCCGAGCCGCCUCUGCUGGCGACGUGGUCACGUGCCUACGGCGUGGGGAGGUCGAAGCGAUGCGCCGCUACCGCUGUGUCGGCGCACAUGUCCCGGACAUGGUGGCGGCGCGGCGGCCUGCGACAGCGAGCACACCUCUACGCCGUCCCUCUGACAGGCGAAAUGCCGGCGCAAUUCGAACGCAUCCCAUCCGGCCAUCACUGCCUGCUGGCGGUGAGGCGGGCCUGCGACGCGUGGAGGUCGGGUAGAGCCUGAGGCAGGGGCCGUGCUCAGGUAGCUGGGUCGGCGCACUGCUGUAGCGCGUGUGUGUCUACCGAUACCCCGCGCCACGCGAUGAGGUCUGUGGCAGGGCUGGUCGGGAGGGGGCCGGUUCAGCGUGGCGGUCUGACCCCAUGCUGUGCACCGCAGAGAAUGGACGCACACACGCAGACAUGUGGGAAUAUUAUCAAGAAAUAUUGUUGUACUGGUUACAGGCCCCAACUCAUCUGUGUAGGUGCACGCGUGUCUG